UACGUAGGGCGCAAGCGUUAUCCGGAAUUAUUGGGCGUAAAGAGCUCGUAGGCGGUUUGUCGCGUCUGCCGUGAAAGUCCGGGGCUCAACUCCGGAUCUGCGGUGGGUACGGGCAGACUAGAGUGAUGUAGGGGAGACUGGAAUUCCUGGUGUAGCGGUGAAAUGCGCAGAUAUCCGGAGGAACACCGGUGGCGAAGGCGGAUCUCUGGGCCAUUACUGACGCUGAGGAGCGAAAGCGUGGGGAGCGAACAGG
rnacentral:rRNA from 1 species